ensembl:lncRNA
CUCAGGGUGAUUUCAGGACAAGAUAAAGCUCUGGGAGUAAAACCAGAUAAGACAUAAAGUGAAAAAAACACAGCAAUUAGAAAUGCCGUCAGAGCUGGAAUUCUCUGGGAAUGCAUGAUAGAACAGAAGAAGGUUUAAAAGCGCUGCAGACGGUGACAUGUCUGCCAAAAGGAGAACAAUUGUCAGAGCAGGGAACUCUUCAGGCCAGGGCUAGUCCUGAAGAAGUUGACGCUUUCUGCAGUUCUCGGUUAAUCUGUGCAAAGAAGUCUGAGCAGAAAGAAGUAAUACAGAGACAGGAGCAGAGCCACAACCACAAAAGAUUUAAACAUCUCAGAGAUUUUUUGAAGCAGAAUCUGCUGACGAGACUUCUGGCAACAGAGAGAGCUUUUGGACCAUCUCGUAGUAAGGUACCAGUCUCAAUGUAGUGGGUGCUUCUGAGAAUGCCAUCUGAACCUGCCAAGAAGGGGAAGUCAGUCAGUCCAGAACCGAUGGCGAAUUGUAGGCAGGUGAGAGAGUAUAAACAAUGUGAAAAAAGAGAAAGGUGAACAAAGGUGCAAGAAACUCAUCGUUGGAUCUGACUGAAAAACAACACAUCAAGCUAUGAACAAUGGCUAUCGCAUGGAGAAGAGGCACAAGAAUGUCAAGGAGCUUUUCUGAAUGAGACCCCAGCAUGGAAGUUGCAGCAGUGCCAGAAACAGUGACUUCACCAAUGAAAGAACCACCACAGAUAAAAAGUUAGAAUGAAUGUGGUGUGAAGUAACUGAAGAAAAUAAACAAGAGAAAGAAGGAAGAAUAAUCAUAUGUUGACAUACACAAGCUAAGCGAUAGAGCCAGUGUUUCUGCGCCUGUAUGUACAGGAAAGUGUUCUCCAGCACUUUGGCUCUUCUGAAACAGCUGUUUGAUGACAGCGUUCUGCCUUUAUGUAGCUAUAUUCAUGCAAGAAUCUGAAGACAUCCCUCAAAGAGUCACACAGAGCUCAGUGUGGCAACCAGAAACUGCCAGUAUCAUCACUUUACACAAGAGUAAACUGGGUCAUACGAUCUGGAUAACUUAUCCCUGUUCACCACAAAAAAAAAAAAAAAAUCAGUGAAAAAGCUCGGAGUACAACACAUCACUACUCAUGAGGCUCUAACCAUCAUCUCUGCUCUGCGGUCUUCACCCCUGCAUACCGUUAACACUGUGCGGUAGGAAGUCCCCCUUGACCAUGAGCAUGUGAGGAAGGAGCAGUCCCUUGGGCAGGAGCAGGGCAGGAGUGGAGCUCAACCUGAGCACUGCUCAGAGCACGUGUUCACUGAUGCUCCUCUGCCUGUAGGACUGAAACACUGCCUGCUGACCUCGCUGCCUGUCCCUUGCGGCACACUCAGCCGAGCUGUGCAUCUAAGCAUUUCACCUGCUGCUUCCGUGAUGGGGUUAUGUCACUGUCUGUCAAUGUAGCUGUGUUGGUACAGAGGCAAAUGAGGUUCUAAAUCAAUUAUUCAAGGAAGAGUUUGUAGGUAUACCCUGAAAUCCAGUUGGAUCCAACCUGCCUUCACCACUGGAAAAGGAGAAACUAUUAAAGCCAUCGCCACAUCCCUUCCAUGAACAACUUUCAGAGCCCUCAGCUGGAUGAAGAGUCAGAUCACAGCUCAGUGUGCCACACAGAUCCUCAGGCAGAGGCCUAAGAAAACCUUGCAAUAGGCUAGAAGUAUGGAAACAUUAGGCACACUUCAAAGGAGCUAAGCUGUGGCGAAUAAAAUGGUAAAACCUGCUUCUAUAUGAUGAGACACUGAAAUAGUUCAGCCAAUUAGACUGCUUGAUUGGUUGACAUUCCUAACACUAUCAUUUUGCGUGCAGGGUGCCUCAUGCAUGAAUGAAGAUGGUGUUUGAAGGUUUUGCUUUUUGUCAGUGCUUUUAUGUUUCUUUCUGGAAUAAACAAGUUAAAAUUAA